rnacentral:misc_RNA from 1 species
GAACGCGGUAGGCAAAUUUGGUGGUGGUGGUAAAUAUAAAUAAAAGUGAUAAAUUACUCUUGGCAGUUUGCAUUUAUAUACUCUGAAAUAGCACUAAAGUUUACAAAAAUGUUAUACAGUCUUACGUCGUGAGAAUUUAAUUAUCAUUACGUUGUUGAUUUUGCUUUACAUUCAUGUAUUUUGAAGUAAUAGUCGUAUCUAGUCACGUAACUACGUAGUUACUUUAUCGAUAGGUUAUGUUUUGAUUCUGCAGAAGCGAUAAAAAUAGUGUUUACCGGUGACUAUUUUUCGAAAAGCAGUAAAAAUGAGUACUUCUCUCUCAAUUAUGUUGAGGAAGGGACAUAGGCUAUUAAAUAGAGGAGCUUCAAACUAUUUGUUUGGACGGAGCAUCAUCACUGAAACGUUGCCGCUUAGCGCAUCGGCAAAAUCCUCGGAAAGGACACACACUUGUAACGAACUGAGUCUGGCACUUGUUGGACAGCAAGUUGCACUGUGUGGUUGGAUGCAGCGAAAAGCAACACCACAGUUCUUGGCUUUUCACGAUGGAUACGGCCGAACUCAACUAGUCAUUCCUGAAAAUAACGUUGGGUUAUUGAAGAAACUUGAAAAUAUUCAUGACAGUUCAGUUGUUAUGAUAAAAGGAUUGGUUUGCAACUCUCAAGUACAUCAAGUUGGAUUGAAUAAUGGAUCAGCCGGAUUAGAAAUAGCCGUCAGUGAUGUAUCUGUGAUCGAUGAUGAUGCCCUGCAUCAUAAGUAUAAUGAAGAUAAUAACAACGAUGAAGAUGCUCCGACCACGCAGAAUCCGCAUGCACCCAUUUCAUUUCCUGGCGUGAAUAUUUACACUGAGCGAACACACACGUGCGGUGAACUGCGCGGCUCGGACGCGGGAGCUGAGGUUGUUCUCUGCGGAUGGCUGCAGUUUUUAAGAAUGAACAAAUUUGUCACCAUCCGCGAUAGCUAUGGUGUCACACAGAUAUUGAUACCCGAAGAGCUAGCAGAAGAGGCUCAACUUCUAGUAAAGGCUCCGAUGGAGAGUAUAAUUCGAGUUAAGGGUGUGGUUGCUACAAGACCACCUGCUGAGGUUUCUCCUAAAAUGGCGACGGGCGAAAUCGAAGUGAUCCUGAAAGAGGUGGCCGUUUUGAACGAGGCGAAAUGCAAGCUGCCCGUCCAGGUGCGCGAGUUCAACAGAGCAAAGGAGCACGUGCGUCUCAAACACCGCUACCUCGAUCUGCGCUCGCCCGCCAUGCAGAGGAAUCUGCGCAUGCGCAGUAAGAUGCUAAUGCGCAUGCGUGAGUUCCUAGUUGAUCAGCGGGAGUUUGUCGAGGUGGAGACGCCGACUUUGUUCAGGCGAACGCCAGGUGGCGCUAGGGAGUUUGUGGUGCCGACCCACUCUCAGGGCGAGUUCUUCUCAUUAGUGCAGUCACCACAGCAACUCAAACAGAUGUUGAUGGCUGGAGCUAUCGACCGAUAUUUUCAGGUGGCGAGAUGUUAUCGGGACGAGUCGACGAGGCCGGACCGUCAGCCGGAGUUCACCCAGCUCGACCUCGAGUUGUCGUUCACCGACCGCGAAUCGGUGCUUGCUCUCACAGAGGACGUUCUGCGAUUCGCCUGGCCCGACACGUUUGCGCCGCUCGUCACGCCGUUCCCACGCAUCACCCACCGUCAGGCCAUCGAUCUCUACGGCAGCGACAAGCCGGACACCUCAUUCGACAACUUCAUUCAGGAUUUCACUGAUCUCACCAAUCAUCAACCGAUUGUCCCGCGUCUCAAAUGCCGGGCUCUAGUCAUAUCAGAUGGUGCUAAAAACUACACUACUUCAGUACGAAACAAAUACGAAGCAUUCUCGCGUACCACCUACCCCGAUAUUAGAUUCCUCGCCAUAAAAAUCACCAACGAUUGGGAAACUGUUUUCAAGAAAGCUGUGCCCUCCUGUGAAGACCCGACUCUACUCCAGCAACGACUAAACUUCAAUGUGGGUGACCUAGUUUUCGUAGCCAUUGGGGACAUUGAUAGGGCGUCCACGUUGCUGGGCAAGUUACGCCUCGAGUUUGUGGAACCCAACUUGGAGGAAAGUUUCAACUUUUUGUGGGUGGUAGAUUUCCCCAUGUUUGAAGUCGACGGGGAGGGAAAGCUGGGUUCGGCGCAUCACCCCUUCACUCAACCCCACCCGGAGGACCUCCAUUUACUAGAUAGUGAUCCCCUGAAAGUGCGUAGUCUUUCCUACGACCUGGUGUUGAACGGCUGUGAGGUGGGCGGUGGAUCUAUACGUGUACACAAUUGUAAUCUACAGAAAUACAUAUUGAAAGAUCUUCUACGUGAAGAAACAGACCGCCUGCAACAUUUGUUGGAUGCCCUAGAGUCGGGAUGUCCGCCACACGGAGGGUUGGCGCUGGGAAUCGACAGGCUGAUGUCGAUUAUGACCGGGUCUGAGUCGAUUCGUGACGUCAUCGCGUUCCCGAAGGGCGUCGACUACAAGGAUCAUCUGUCGGGAGCUCCGUGUGACAUCUCGGCGGAGGAUCGCAAGUAUUAUCACUUACCUGAGGUGUCUGUGGCCGCUGAUAGUCAGCGGUUGGCUAAAAAAGUUGUGGAACAGUAGACUGUUCCAAGUUUCUUGUAAAAAAUCGGCCCAGAGUUGACGUAAUUAGGUCGAUUCAAAAGUUCAGUAUUUGUAAACGCUACUGCAGGCUAUAGAAGGUGCAAUCGACAUUUCAUAAAAACCUUGUUGAAUAGUAGACUGUUGAAGGUUGUAGUGAAAAGGUCGGUUCAGUAUUUCUAAACGCUACUCCAUGGUAGAGAGAGUUUAGGCACAAGAAUAAGGUCCCGAUCUGUAAACGCUACUGCAGGCUAUAGAAGGUGCAAUCGACAUUUCAUAAAAAACCUUGUUGAAUAGUAGACUGUUGAAGGUUGUAGUGAAAAGGUCGGUUCAGUAUUUCUAAACUCUACUCCAUGGUAGAGAGAAGUUAAUUCACAAGAACAAGGGCCCGAUUAAGCAGCCAAAUGUUUGAUCAUACAUUUACGCAUGAUUUUUAACCAACUUUUAUCAAAGGUUUGUUUCUCCAUUGAACCCGUGUUGAAUCGAUCAAAUUAUGUGUUUACUAUACACGAUAAAAUAUCAAUGAUCUGAUGUAUGGUAUGACCGUGUGAAGGGUUCCUAAGGUUGAAAUUGUAGCGGCAUAUGGAGAGUUUAGUGACUUAUAGCCUCCUAAUCAACCCAUGACCAUGGGAAGGGUCCCUAAGGUUGAAAUUGUAGCGGCGUAUGGGGAGUUUAGUGACUUUUACCCUCCCAAUCAACCCACCUACGUUAGCUUCUGUUCGAGUUGUACAGAGUAUUGUGAAGUUUCUUUUUGAAAAGUGAAUUUUUUUAAAUAAAAAAUUGAUCUGACUUACUUGAACAAUCACCAUUCUUUUGAGCAUUCAAGUUUAAUGUUUCUUUUUUUGUAUAAGAUUCAUUUCAUUUCAAGACUUCAGGCCUUUCCAACCAAGACCUAACCUUAUCAAGUAAUUUUGGAAAAGAAGCCUUAUAUAAAUGAAUUUCUAAUAAGGGUUUGUAUACACAAAUAUGUUUCUAAAACAAUCAAAUUCAUUGAUAUAGAAAUGUAAAUUGAAUAAAUACAGUGAAAUAAAAAUUCAAUAACGUGUAUUCUUUAUUGAUUCAUACAAUAAGUACAUCAUCAAAAUGAUAGGGAGAGAAAAAAUGAGAUAACCUUGUGCUAUUCCUCUCCCAAAUUUAGAUAAGGUUACUCAUAGUCCGAAAUUAAGUCUUAUAAAUAGAAAUAAAAAUCUCAAGUGAUAUCACUUGAAAAUGGCAUGAGUAUUGAAACAAGUUGUGAUGAAAUAAUUCAAAAAAGGGUACUGAGAUUUUUAUUUAUAUUUAUAUUACAAGAGUAGCCCUAAACAGAAAAGAGGUAGUGUUCACUUCACAAAAUUUUCGGUUCUUAAUUAUUUUCACAAAGUAGAUAAUAAUCAAUAAUUUUCAAUCGGUAACAUACAUUCAAAAAUGCAUAAUUUACGCUAGAAUGUAUUAGUCCUGUAUAGAUGCUGUACCAAAAUACAGAUUCUCAAUGUUGUAUUGUAUGUUACCAAUAUUCACAAUCCUCUGUACAAAACAUUAUAUUAAUACAAUGUGACUUAUUGUGCAAUAUUAUUCCCGAUGUACCUUCUUAGGUACAAUAAUAAUUAUGUAAUUUUGUAGGAUAGAAUAACUAUAAACUAUUUGACAAUAACGUUCCUCUGUCAGGCCAGUUUUUAUGUAUUGUCUUGUCUAGUAAUUGCAUAGAUUGCUAUGUUGUUAAAGACAGAUUAUUCAAAUUAUCCCUCCUUUUAUUGUAUAAUCAUUGAUGAUCAGGUUCUCAUUUACUUUUAUCUAUCAUCCUUUUCAUCUCAUAUUUUGUAAGCAUUACAAAAAUUUGUGACAAAAUGCUUAAACAUUUCAUGACAUUAUUAAUGCAACUAUAUAAUAUGAAAUACAUUAAUAUGUUAGCAGAAGUACUCUGAAUUCCUUUGAGCUAGAAGAUUGGUGCAAUGUUUAGCCCAUAACUUUCAAACAUAAUUAGAGUACUUUCUGUAAAAAAUAGGUUACAAUUUUACAUUAUUAUCUCAUUGUAUAAUGUAAUAAUAGAACAAGCAAAGAAAAGUACAGUACCGUCAAACCGGCUAACUUGGGACAGUAGUCUAACUUGGGACAGUAGUCUAAAUUGGGACAAUUAAGCCUUUUCCCUCCAAUUCCAACUUACCAGCUGUCUGUGCAAUUCAUUCCGAGUUCUGGCAUUGUUGAUUUGUUGGGAACAAAUCAUUGAAAAUAUGUUUUGAACAUUUAAUUAACAGCUAAGAUACUUUUUUAACAGUAAUAACAAUCUACUAUUUCUAACCCAGAAAUUGAACCUUUAAUAACUUCUAUUGUGAACACUCAAUUAUUUUAUCAAUAAUUCAAUUAUUUCACAGUUGAAGUAUUUUUAUUAUGAAUAUGAAACCUAUUAUUCAAAAUCUAAUGUCGCAAGUUAGCCUUCAACCACUCAAUUGUCUCAUUACAGGCAAAUCAUAAUGGUGUCUCAAGUUACCCAACCUUUGCGGGUAACUUGGGACACCAUAUUUUUUUAUUUUUUUCAGAGCAGGUUGGAAUAAUAAUGAAAUUGAAUGUAUAUAAUUGAAGUAUUAUUGAAGAUCUAAGUUUUGAGCACAGGAGAAAUAAACUAUUAUAAUAAUAAUGGAAUUGAAUUCCAAGUCAAAGUUGAAAACUGUCCCAAGUUAGACUACUGUCCCAAGUUAGCCGGUUUGACGGUAACAUAUUAUUUUCUUGUUCAUACUUUCAAGUACCUAAUACCGUAUAAUUGAAAAAUUUAUCUUCAUGAAAAAUUUCCAUGAUCUAAUGUGUCUAUCUAGAAUCUCUUCCAUCCAUAACAAUUUAAUCCAUUUUCAUAGUUAGCAUUAGACUACACAUUGUUCUUAUUUAUCCAUUUUUGAAAAUAAUAGAUAUUAAACAAUGUACUGCAUUUUUGGUAAUUUACUUCGACAUAUGGUGCACUUGUGGUCAUGAAAAACCAACAGAAUCAUCAUUAUUAUACAAAUAACAAAUACAAGUUCAAUUAUUAUAAUUCUUAAUGUUUUGUUUGUGAUAUAAUAUCAGGCCUAAUUAUACACUUGUAUAUUGCAGAAUUUUUGGCGUAUUGCAGUACAUAGUAAUAAAAAAAUUAAGUCAUCAAUAUUGAUUACCCUAAUUCAAUUUUAUAGCAUUGAUUACAAAUAUUUCAUCACAAUAUUAUAUUCCAUAUCAAUAAAAUAAUGAUAAACUUAUAUAAUAUCAAUAUUGCAUAGGCUCAUUCAGAUUGAUAAAACAAAAAGACAAAAAAAAUAUUUUUAGAAAGUUAUUUCUAAAAGUUAGUUUUGGGAUAGUUGUAGAGAUUGGAUGAUAUUUUUGGUAUUUUCAAUGAGUGAUAGAUAAUAUAGUCAAUAAUUUGGGAUUACAUUUGGAUUUGAG